UACAGAGGUCCCAAGCGUUAAUCGGAAUUACUGGGCGUAAAGCGUGCGCAGGCGGUUUUGUAAGUCUGUCGUGAAAUCCCCGGGCUUAACCUGGGAAUGGCGAUGGAGACUGCAAGGCUAGAGUUUGGCAGAGGGGGGUAGAAUUCCACGUGUAGCAGUGAAAUGCGUAGAGAUGUGGAGGAACACCGAUGGCGAAGGCAGCCCCCUGGGUCAAAACUGACGCUCAUGCACGAAAGCGUGGGGAGCAAACAGG
rnacentral:rRNA from 1 species